CUACGUGCCAGCAGCCGCGGUAAUACGUAGGUGGCAAGCGUUGUCCGGAUUUAUUGGGCGUAAAGCGAGUGCAGGCGGUUCAAUAAGUCUGAUGUGAAAGCCUUCGGCUCAACCGGAGAAUUGCAUCAGAAACUGUUGAACUUGAGUGCAGAAGAGGAGAGUGGAACUCCAUGUGUAGCGGUGGAAUGCGUAGAUAUAUGGAAGAACACCAGUGGCGAAGGCGGCUCUCUGGUCUGCAACUGACGCUGAGGCUCGAAAGCAUGGGUAGCGAACAGGAUUAGAUACCCUGGUAGUCCAUGCCGUAAACGAUGAGUGCUAAGUGUUGGGAGGUUUCCGCCUCUCAGUGCUGCAGCUAACGCAUUAAGCACUCCGCCUGGGGAGUACGACCGCAAGGUUGAAACUCAAAGGAAUUGACGGGGGCCCGCACAAGCGGUGGAGCAUGUGGUUUAAUUCGAAGCAACGCGAAGAACCUUACCAGGUCUUGACAUCCAGUGCAAACCUAAGAGAUUAGGUGUUCC
rnacentral:rRNA from 1 species